AACAGCUCAGUUCAAAUUGAAGAUAAGUACAACAGCUCAGUUCAAAUUGAAGAUAAGUACAACAGCUCAGUUCAAAUUGAAGAUAAGAACAACAGCUCUGUUCAAAUUGAAGAUAAGAACAACAGCUCAGUUCAAAUUGAAGAUAAGAACAACAGCUCUGUUCAAAUUGAAGAUAAGAACAACAGCUCUGUUCAAAUUGAAGAUAAGUAUAACAGCUCUGUUCAAAUUGAAGAUAAGUACAACAGCUCAGUUCAAAUUGAAGAUAAGAACAACAGCUCUGUUCAAAUUAAAGAUAAGAACAACAGCUCAGUUCAAA
rnacentral:lncRNA from 1 species